rnacentral:rRNA from 1 species
GAUGAACGCUAGCUAUAGGCUUAACACAUGCAAGUCGAGGGGCAGCGAAUAGAUAGCUUGCUAUUUAUGUCGGCGACCGGCGCACGGGUGAGUAACGCGUAUCCAACCUGCCCAUAACUAAGGGAUAACCCAGCGAAAGUUGGACUAAUACCUUAUGUAUUCGUUUGAUCUCAUGAGAUUACGAAUAAAGAUCUAUCGGUUAUGGAUGGGGAUGCGUCUGAUUAGCUUGUUGGCGGGGUAACGGCCCACCAAGGCAACGAUCAGUAGGGGUUCUGAGAGGAAGGUCCCCCACAUUGGAACUGAGACACGGUCCAAACUCCUACGGGAGGCAGCAGUGAGGAAUAUUGGUCAAUGGACGCAAGUCUGAACCAGCCAAGUAGCGUGCAGGAUGACGGCCCUAUGGGUUGUAAACUGCUUUUAUAUGGGGAUAAAGUGGGGAACGUGUUCCCUUUUGCAGGUACCAGAUGAAUAAGGACCGGCUAAUUCCGUG